rnacentral:rRNA from 1 species
AUUGAACGCUGGCGGAACGCUUUACACAUGCAAGUCGAACGGCAGCACGGACUUCGGUCUGGUGGCGAGUGGCGAACGGGUGAGUAAUAUAUCGGAACGUAUCCAAUAAUGGGGGAUAACUAAUCGAAAGGUUAGCUAAUACCGCAUACGCCCUGAGGGGGAAAGCUAGGGACCGCAAGGCCUGGCGUUAAUGGAGCGGCCGAUAUCUGAUUAGCUAGUUGGUGAGGUAACGGCUCACCAAGGCUUCGAUCAGUAGCCGGUCUGAGAGGACGACCAGCCAAACUGGAACUGAGAAACGGUCCAGACUCCUACGGGAGGCAGGAGUGGGGAAUUUUGGACAAUGGGCGAAAGCCUGAUCCAGCCAUUCCGCGUGAGUGAAGAAGGCCUUCGGGUUGUAAAGCUCUUUCGCAAGGGAAGAAAACUUAUCCCCUAACAUAGGGUGAGGUUGACGGUACCUUGAUAAGAAGCACCGGCUAACUACGUGCCAGCAGCCGCCGUAA